GAAGCUUGGAUAGAGGAAGGUGAAGGUCGAGGUAAAAAUAUCAAUAGGAAAAACUCUUCAGAAAACAAUUGAAAAAGGCUAAAGGUGUCUAGAUAUGGCAUCACGGUUGCUGUCAAAGCGAGUGAUGUACCUGCCAAAUCUUCGAGCAGCAGUGAACCAUUUCCGAGCUUUUUCCUGGUACAACAAUGGAGAGAAUGCUGACAGUUACAAAGUUGUUGGAGAAACUGAAUCAGGUAUAAUAUAAC
rnacentral:lncRNA from 1 species